GUGCUGCUGUACAGAUGUAAGUUCAUACAGAUUUACAAAUAGGCCUUUUUCGUGCAUCUCCUGUGACGCGUGUUGUCUCCCUUUUGUAGAAUGGAGCAGGUUGUCAACGAGUUGCGGGCGCUCAUGGGAUGGUCGACCGAGCCAAGUUGGUAGCGUGAAUUGGAACGAGAUCUCAUUGUGCUGGGUUCCGUAGGUGCCAGCUUCACAAGUUGGGCCUUAUUGGUCGUUCCAAAAAAGAAAUGGAUGAAACGGAUGCAGGUCGGAUCUUUAGGUCACUCUUCUCCUCUCGUGAAAGCAAACUCGAGCUUCCUCCAACGCGACCGCCGCCUCCGGUCUUGUCAAUGUGGCUGUCAGUGACGCUCGAGAUCUGCAACUAUUCGUCGUGGUCAAGGUCAUCUCCCCUUUCGCCAAUCACCAUUCUUCAUCGUAGUCGUAUAGUCGUGGUACCCCAACCCGUCAUCGGGGUUACUGUGUUCAGUAGCGCUCUGCCCGCUGUCCCUCAUCGUACUCGUCAUCCAUCGUGCUUGUGAGUCAAAGGUAAGAGCUGCUCUGCCCACCGAUUGAUUAGCUUUGGCAUCUAGUAACUGUAUUCAUCUGGUAACCCUUGGAAUAUACAAUUAUUUAAACAAAUUGGAAUAUACAAUUAUCAGUUGACAUAUAUACCUUGUAGGGUCCCUUGAAUUCUAUGGCUCCUAGCCAUGAUGAGUUUUUUGGAACUCAACAAAGCAUUCAUGAGCGGGUAGAGUACUUUUUGUUUUAUUUUUAAUUUUCAAUGAAAUUGUUUGGAAGUUAAUGACUAAACUAACUUUAACAUGAUAGCUUUUUGCUGAUUUUUGUCAUUGGUUCAUGUAAAGAGGGCAACUAGAAUUCUGGCCUGCUACUUCUUUUGGAUAUAGCCUUCAGGAAAAUAAAAAGUCAAAAACCGAUGAUUGCGAAGAAAAAAAAUUUGGAAAAAGGAAAAAGAAAAAGAAGUUGUUCAUGUUGUUGUGCUGUUCUGAGUUUGACAAUUGGCACUGUGUGAGAGAGCAACAGCUCGUGCCCCGUCUCCCGUCUGAAACUAAGGUGGCACCUUACCUCUCUUCGUUUCCAGUCUCAAAUUCAGAUCUACCGUUUCAACCAGCAUAGUUAGUAUAUAGUGAUAUGGUGUUAGAAAUAAACUUGUCAAUAAUAUAACAAGCAAUGGUAAAACUUGUUGCCAAGAAGCAAUAGCUAAAAUGGGAUAGUCUCCUCAUACUCAAUUAAGAGGUUGUGAAUUCGAGUCUCCAUAUCUUCGGUAAAAAAAAUGGUAAAACUUGUUGGUGUUACCUAAUGUAAUCUUACUAGUACUUACCCUGUUGUAAUUUUUGAUGGUUACAUGAUAAUUGUUUGAAUCUUUGUACAUAUUAUUAUCUAUGGACUAGAUUGCACUUAAUAAGUGCGAUACUAUUCUUUA